GCUAAGUCGAGACAAAAACGGCAGAAAACCCGAAUAAACAUCGGCAUGGCUUUUCCCAAAUGGAGGGCACUGAAGCAGGAAAAGGGUUUGCUAAGCGACGCCAAAGUUGCAAGCUUUCUGCUGGACCGGUUAGAUCAGAUGAGCUAGCAGUGAUGCUGAAACAUCAGAGAGGAGCUGUGAGAGCCGUGAUGGACAUGAGUCUGUUUGUACUGCUUCUGCUGUCAGGUUGGUGUCGUAAUUUCAACCUGUUUUCACAAGUAUAUGUACCAAUGCGGGGUGGCUUAGUGGUUAGCACGUUCGCCUCACACCUCCAAGGUUGGGGGUUCGAUUCCCGCUUCCGACUUGUGUGUGUUGAGUUUGCAUGCUCUCCCCGUGCCUCGGGGGUUUCCUCCGGGUACUCCUGUUUCCUUCCUUGGUCCAAAGACAUGCAUGGUAGGUUGAUUGGCAUCUCUGGAAAAAAUUGUGCGUGAGUGAAUGAGUGAGUGUGUGUGCCCUGCGAUGGGUUGGCACCCCAUCCAGGGUGUAUCCUGCCUUGAUGCCCGAUGACUCCUGAGAUAGGCGCAGGCUCCCCGUGACCCGAGGUAGUUCGGAUAAGCGGUAGAAAAUGGAUGGAUGGAUGUACAAAUGCAUUAGUUUAAACAUGUUUAUUUUAACAGGACUUAUCUGCAGCGCUACUGGUCUUUGGCGACCAUAUCACUACAUAAAUCAGAAUAUGACAUGGGCAGCAGCUCAGAGUUACUGCAGAGAGAGGUUUACUGAUCUGGCUACUGUAGACUCUAUAGAUGAUGUGAACAGGAUGAUAAAUGCAGUGAAUGAUGGAUACGGUGGAUCAGUGUGGAUUGGAAUGAAGAGGGUGACACAAGGUCGUUGGGGAUGGUCUAAUGGAGAAAACAGAGUCUCCCAGUACAGUAACUGGCAAAUAGGAGAGCCAAAUGGAGAUAAUACAGACGAAUAUUGUGGGUUUAGCUAUUGCGGGUUAUGGCAUGAUAUGCCAUGCAGCGACACUAUACAUUUUACCUGCUACAAUGGUGAGUUUCACAUUCCUAAUAAGCAUUUAGUCCAACUGAGAAGAGUUGAGUCCUUAUAUUUACUUUGGGUUUCCUAUAGAAAGUACUGGAUACAUCAGCAUACAGCUUUGGAAAAACUGGACAGAUGCUCAGAGUUACUGCAGACAGUAUCACACUGAUCUGGCCACUAAACUGGGCAGCAGGAUUCACAUCACAGACGUCAGUACUUGGAAACUGUGUUACCAUGUCAACCAUUUCUGGGAAAUGGAUUCAAAUCCCCUGUACUGAACAGCAUCCCUUUAUCUGCUAUGGUGAUUUGAAAAAACAGAUCAUCAGACUGAACUUGUCCCAUGAUGGAAAAUACAAUUUGAAUGACCCUUCAAAACAGACUGCCAUUCUGAAUAAGAUAACCGAAAAGCUAAAGAAUGCCGGACUGGACAGUCACUGCACAUUAAGCUGGAGAAAGGAUGAAGGUGGAGAGGUGUUUCACCCCGAGAGCAAACACACAUUGAAGUCAAAUAUUAGAUGUGACAGCAACUAAUGUUCAAUGCAUUAAAGUGAACUUUUAAACAUACUCAAAUAAUAUAAAGAUAUUUCUAUACAUUUACAGAACUCAAUAUUUAUCUUUCCACAUAUUAAGUGAUAUUAUUAAAUGCAAAUUUAUUUUAGGUAGUACCUUAACAUAAUAAUUUUCUAAUUUGUAGGGUGUUUUCACAUCACAGUUAUUGCAUGUUUUGAAAUGAUAGAAUUUGAAGUAUAGUACAGUUAAAUUCCAAAGCAUAUGCAAAGAGAAGGAUGAUGUGCAUGUAACCUGGUGUAUGGCCUUUGAAAAAAAUAGCAUCUACUUAUAAAUAUUUGUAAAUUGUGAUAUCAAACUUGCAUUGCAACACAA